rnacentral:rRNA from 1 species
AGAGUUUGAUCAUGGCUCAGGAUGAACGCUGGCGGUAUGCUUAACACAUGCAAGUCGAACGGAAUCUUCGGAUUUAGUGGCGGACGGGUGAGUAACGCGUGAGAAUCUACUCUUAGAUUGGGGACAACAGUUGGAAACGACUGCUAAUACCGAAUGUGCCGAAAGGUAAAAGAUUUAUCGUCUGAGAAUGAGCUCGCGUUGGAUUAGCUAGUUGGAGUGGUAAUGGCACACCAAGGCGACGAUCCAUAACUGGUCUGAGAGGAUGACCAGUCACACUGGGACUGAGACACGGCCCAGACUCCUACGGGAGGCAGCAGUGGGGAAUUUUCCGCAAUGGGCGAAAGCCUGACGGAGCAAUACCGCGUGAGGGAGGAAGGCUCUUGGGUCGUAAACCUCUUUUAUUAGGGAAGAAGAUCUGACGGUACCUAAGAAUCAGCAUCCGACUUCCCCGG